rnacentral:rRNA from 1 species
AGAGUUUGAUUAUGGCUCAGGAUGAACGCUGGCGGCGUGCUUAACACAUGCAAGUCGAACGGAGUUAGAGAGCUUGCUCUUUAAACUUAGUGGCGGACGGGUGAGUAACGCGUGGGUAACCUGCCUUUCACUGGGGGAUAACAGUUAGAAAUGACUGCUAAUACCGCAUAAGCGCACAGGUUCGCAUGAACUAGUGUGAAAAACUCCGGUGGUGAAAGAUGGACCCGCGUCUGAUUAGCUAGUUGGUGAGGUAACGGCCCACCAAGGCGACGAUCAGUAGCCGGCCUGAGAGGGUGAACGGCCACAUUGGGACUGAGACACGGCCCAAACUCCUACGGGAGGCAGCAGUGGGGAAUAUUGCACAAUGGGGGAAACCCUGAUGCAGCGACGCCGCGUGAGUGAAGAAGUAUUUCGGUAUGUAAAGCUCUAUCAGCAGGGAAGAAAAUGACGGUACCUGACUAAGAAGCCCCGGCUAACUACGUGCCAGCCGCGGC